UCCCUGGAGGACUAGUGGUUAGGUCACAGCGCCCUCGCUGCCACGGACCGGGUUUGAUUCCCGGCCAGGGGG